UAGGGAAUCUUCCGCAAUGGGCGCAAGCCUGACGGAGCAACGCCGCGUGUGUGAAGAAGGUCUUCGGAUCGUAAAGCACUGUUGUUAAGGAAGAACGACAGUAAGAGUAACUGCUUACUGUGUGACGGUACUUAACCAGAAAGCCACGGCUAACUACGUGCCAGCAGCCGCGGUAAUACGUAGGUGGCAAGCGUUAUCCGGAAUUAUUGGGCGUAAAGCGCGCGUAGGCGGCGAGAUUAGUCUGAUGUGAAAGCCCCCGGCUCAACCGGGGAAGGUCAUUGGAAACUGUUUCGCUUGAGUGCAGAAGAGGAGAGUGGAAUUCCAUGUGUAGCGGUGAAAUGCGCAGAGAUAUGGAGGAACACCAGUGGCGAAGGCGGCUCUCUGGUCUGCAACUGACGCUGAUGUGCGAAAGCGUGGGGAUCAAACA
rnacentral:rRNA from 1 species